GAUGAAGAACGUAGCGAAAUGCGAUAAGUAAUGUGAAUUGCAGAAUUCAGUGAAUCAUCGAAUCUUUGAACGCACCUUGCGCCCUUUGGCCAUUCCGAAGGGCAUGCCUGUUUGAGUAUCAUGAACACCUCAACUCUCAUGGCUUGCCAUGAUGAGCUUGGACUUUGGGGGUCUUGCUGGCCUGUGGUCGGCUCCUCUCAAAUGAAUCAGCUUGCCAGUGUUUGGUGGCAUCACAAGUGUGAUAACUAUCUGCGCUCAUGGUUUCCAUCAGAUAACCUCCAGUGAUGGAGGUUCGCUGGAGCUCAUAAAUGUCUCUCCUAAGCGAGGACAGCUCUUUUAAUGUUUGAUCUCAAAUCAGGUAGGACUACCCGCUGAACUUAAGCAUAUCAAUAAGCGGAGGA
rnacentral:misc_RNA from 1 species